UGGCAGCAGCAAUUAAUACCAGGCUACAACAGGGGAAGGAAGAGAAAGGAUGCUGGGCCACAACCAAUUCUGCUGAGAAGCCAGGCUCUGUCCUCCAUUGACUGUCACCUGGCAGCAGCCAUUACAUCAGGCUGCAGCAAAAGCAAGAGAAGGAAUGCAGAUCCAUUCCUGAGUUAUCCCUGAGAGCAGCAAUUUCUUAACACAUCCGCUCGCCAUCUAGUCAUUAGAACAACUUGUAACUAAAAACUUGUAAUUUGCUUAUUUUCUCCCCACUUCCAUUCCAUUUUCUUUUUGUGUCAUGUAUUUCUAGACUGUAAGCCUGACAGCACAGGUUGACUUUUUCAGUCAACUAUGAGUACCCACAUCUAAAACAAUGUUAAGCUUCUGCCCUUUGAAGCCUGUUCAGGGAAUGUGAUCUGUCAUUUUACAAAUUUAGUUCUAAUUUUAAAGUUUAUGACAUACACAAGGCAAGGUGAUCUACCUUACUGAAGAACAGAUAUGAAUAUUCAUCAGGUCAGAUCGAUCCAAUGAGAAGAUAGAGAGGGAGAUCACAUCCCUAUGGUCACACUAGUCUUGGUGAAGAGGCUGAAAUACCAGAGCUAUGACAGGGCUCAACAGCACCAGUUGCUUCUCAGUACUAAUAAAAACAACAUUUAAAAAAAAAACAGUGGCCAAAUUGGGGAGGGGGAGUACAGGUUACCACCAUUGGUCUUAUUCCUGAGAAGAUACUGUGCAGUGCAAUCAGCUAUCAACAACAAAAAGUGCAAUUGUGAAUCUUAUUGACCAAGAGAAAAGUUGUGAGCAAAAUAGGAAGAAGCUGCCAACCAGCUCUGUUAAUUUUGUGCCAUACUACUGAGCACUACUGUACAGAGCUAGGGAUCAGAAUCUAUUUUGUCUCCAGAGGAAACUGAUAAUGCUAGAUCAAUAAAAAGCCUUUCCAUAGUUCUACUCACAGUCUGGAAUCCAGCUGCAGGAGAAAUCCCAGUUUGUCAUAUUCUGAAAGACAAAAGCAGGAGAGUUCAGUAAAUUCAGGGCAGCCUUCAAAACUACAGAAAUCUUCCAGACAGGAGUAUAAAGAACUCAUAGAAAACUCAAAAAGAAAGGGAAUAUGCAUCAUCUUGGUCUUUUCUUCUCUAAAAAGUUAUGUACUUGGACACAUGCAGGUCUUUGUUACAUAAACUGUGAUUUCAUUCAGUGCCAUGAAUCCUUGUGUAAAUGCAGUUAAACAUUCCUAAGUGACUGUUUCACAAAAGAGGUUUUGCUCCACUUCAGAAGCCAUAUCAUAUUUCCUAGUAAAAGUCAAAGAUAAUAUUAACAAAAAAGUAAUGUGCAAAAGUUCUUGGUGACCUCUGGGGCGAGUCAACUUGAUCUGCAAAAGAUAACAAAUAAUAAAUAAGAGGACAUAGGAAUAUUUUAUUACAAGACUAGAUUAAAGGUUAUUUCUAUGGAGAUUCCCACCCACAGACAUUCAUAUCCCAUAGCCAAUAGAGAUGAGAGGUGGAAAGGAGACCAAUAGUAGAAAAGAACUGCUGCACUUGACAAACAAGGUACAACAGGAAUUGGCAAACCAUCAGCCAACUCCCAAUUAAACUGUCAUGGGGAUAUAAAACAUGGAGUAAGCACUGUUACCCAAAGAUGAACUGGAGGAAACCAAGGAAAUGUUCUGCAGAACAAAUGAGCUUCUACAAUUCAUUGAAACUGAUGAAACUUUAUGGGCAGUCAUGGCAAUUAUUUAUCAAGUAGAAAAAGCCCUAGGCACAGAUGUCCUCAAAGUAGCAUUGAAGUAGAGCAUUCUGGAUCACAAAAGACAAACUCAGACUUCACCAUUGAACUUAAAAUAAAAUGUUUUUCUAAUUCAUGAGCAGUUUUCUCUAAAAAUAAAAUAAAAUAAAAUACAGCAUUGUUUAAAACUACCAUCAGAACAUACUGGCUGGGAGCCUAAGUUUCCUCCCACUGGUGGGAGCAUCCCUUGAGCAGACUUCUGCUAAAAACAUUCCUGGUAGUGUGUGGAGGACAGGGGAAUCUCUUGCCAAUUCACCUUGGUGUUCCUCCAAAUGUAUUUGGGAGGGCUGGGGGACUCUUGAAAGCAGCACAAAAAGCAGCAUAGCGAACUUAUGGGGAAAUAGGGAAAUGGGUGAAACAUGCUCCCCUCCUCCUACUUUUUAGCUGUUAUAUUAGCAGCAGUUAUAAGGCUAAACACUAUUUCUUCAUCAUUUUCUGGAAUGACAUAUUUUAGUUAACUAAGCAGAAAUAUUUUAUUUUCCAGGGGCAUAUGAUAUCCUAACGUAUCAGAGAUAUGCUCCUUCUGUUCAUAGACAGGAUGCAAAGGAGAAUCCUGCAGGUAGAAGGGGGAGAAGCCAAUUUCCUACUAUAUCUGAAUAGAUUGAUAACAUUUGGUCCAUAGUAACUGUGAUUAAGUAACUUAGUACAAAAAAAUACAUAUAAACCAGCACAACAGGUUUUUGGGGGUAUUUUUUGUAAUGUUUUAGAACAAGAUCAAUUAUAACGUCCAACCUUGUGCUGCUUUCAACCUGUUGAAACUGUAUUGCUUUUUGCUCUUUAUAUUUGCUUUAUUUUAUUAAACAAAAUUAAAAUGAUAAAAAACA